rnacentral:rRNA from 1 species
AAAGGGUGCGUAGGCGGGUAGGUAAGUCAGUGGUGAAAUCCUAGAGCUUAACUCUAGAACUGCCAUUGAUACUAUCUAUCUUGAAUAUUGUGGAGGUAAGCGGAAUAUGUCAUGUAGCGGUGAAAUGCUUAGAUAUGACAUAGAACACCUAUUGCGAAGGCAGCUUACUACGCAUAUAUUGACGCUGAGGCACGAAAGCGUGGGGAUCAAACAGGAUUAGAUACCCUUGU